AUAAACUUGUACAAAAGGCUAUAAGUUGAAAUACGAAUAGCCCUCAAUAAGGUACAAAAGGUAAUACUCUAAGGUGAAUGGUAAAAGUAGAUGAUUUAUAACAGAUAAUUCAUUAAUUUAGCAUCGAUCAAUAUGACUUGGAAACUGAUAUCAAUAUUAUGGUUAAUAGCAAUACUUUCAAAAACAGCCACUGCUUAUGUGUACAAGGGAAGCACAAACAACAUAGAAUCCAC